AUGUGUUUCUGUGUAAUUUGUGUUAUUUUGCAUUUAGAUGGAUAUGAAGGUGCUAUUAAUAUCAGCUCUACUAGGAUUUGUCUCUCAUGUCAGAUCAAAAACAGAUAGCAAUAUGUGUAUUUCUGCAAAUGCCAAAACAUGUGGAGAGUGUAUUCAGAUCGGGCCACAGUGUGCGUGGUGCAAAGAUCCUGGUUUCAAACCUUCACGCUGUGAUGACAGAGAUUCUCUGGAAAAGGCU